rnacentral:rRNA from 1 species
UGCUCCCUACGGGGCGCAGCAGUGAGGAAUAUUGGUCAAUGGUCGGGAGACUGAACCGGCCAAGCCGCGUGAGGGAGGAAGGUACAGAGUAUCGUAAACCUCUUUUGUCAGGGAACAAAGACUGGGACGCGUCCCCGGAUGAGUGUACCUGAAGAAAAAGCAUCGGCUAACUCCGUGCCAGCAGCCGCGGUAAUACGGAGGAUGCGAGCGUUAUCCGGAUUUAUUGGGUUUAAAGGGUGCGCAGGCGGUCUGUUAAGUCAGCGGUCAAAGCCCGGGGCUCAACCCCGGCCCGCCGUUGAAACUGG